rnacentral:rRNA from 1 species
CAGUAGCCGCGGUAAUACGGAGGGGGCUAGCGUUGUUCGGAAUUACUGGGCGUAAAGCGCACGUAGGCGGCUUGGUAAGUUAGAGGUGAAAGCCCAGGGCUCAACCCUGGAAUUGCCUUUAAGACUGCCGAGCUAGUAGGUGAGAGAGGUAAGUGGAAUUCCGAGUGUAGAGGUGAAAUUCGUAGAUAUUCGGAAGAACACCAGUGGCGAAGGCGGCUUACUGGCUCAUUCUAGACGCUGAGGUGCGAAAGCGUGGGGAGCAAACAGGAUUAGAUACCCGUGUAGUCCCUGUCUCUUAUAC